CGCCAUAGCCCUAAGGUGUAUCAUCUAAAUUUUCGCCAAAGCAAAAUAUUCAAAAUGUUUAUUGGUCCGGUCCAAAAAGAACAUCUUCACAAUAUGAUUCUGGGUUGUGGUUGGCCCUGUGGAUCGUUGAGUGGACCUUGCUGCGGAAGCUGCUGUGGAAGUGGGUGUUGCGGUGGAUACGGGGGUUGCGGAGGCUGUUGCUAAGCUUAGUAUCUAAAGAUGCUUGGACCUGGACCAAUGUACAGCAGAUGCAAGGACUCUGAUAAUACCUAAUUUGACAACCUAAAAAUAGACCCUGUUCUGGUACUGCUUAACAUGAAUAUAUAAAUUUAUAAUCAAUAAUAUGAACUUAUUUGUAAGUUCAAAUAAAUGUU
rnacentral:sRNA from 1 species